AUCCUCCUGUUCAGCUCCCUCACGCGCCGCUUACUGAUGCCGGAGCCGGAGUGACGUCAUAUUCUGGCACCGGCAUCACUGCGGUGUGCGCGAGGGAGCUGGGAAGAAAGAGCUCAGG